GAAAUGUGAGUGACGAUGUCCAUGGCAACGGGUUCCCUGCAGAGAUGAAAUGGCGCCUCUGUGACAGUGCAUUGCAGAACACGAGAGCCUCAUCGUUUCUUAUUUGUCUUCAGGGUCUCUAAAACAGAUGCUCAUUUAGCUGGAUUUUUAUUUUGGCCUCUGUUAGAGGUCAGUCUCAUCACCCAUACCCCAGUGUGACAAUAGCAUUUGAUUAGUGAAGGAGUGCUUUGGAUAUUUUUCCUGCUGGUAGAGUUUUCCCUGAUCAUUCAUUCUACCUCAUUUGAUGUACAAAUAGCAGGUGCCAGACACUGAUUGUUUUCAUUCACUUCAUUCAUUCUCUCUCAGCUACUCGAUGGCUUGGAACCCUUAAUAUAUAUUCCUGAGUGAAUUAGCAAAUAUGAAGCAUGUGGCCUAUGGCUAGGGCAUGGUACUAAUUUAAGGGCCUCACAGAAAACUUAUGACCUUGCCCUUGUGAUAGUGAAACUGUCAGAUCCCUUCUGGGGACAGUAAUCCCUUCUGUCUUCUGAUUAUCCCCACAGGAAAAGCAUCCAUUAAGAAAGAAGAAAGGAGCAUGGGCUUGCAUGACAGAAGACAGUAUGGGAAUCAACACUGCAGAAAAACACUAAUGGCAACUCUGGUAACAGGUAUUAUCUCCAUGAGAGCUACUGGAUGCUCACAGAAAAGAUGGGGAAAGUCUAGUCUCUCGUAAGCAGCACAGCUAGAGGAACAGAACAGCUGCACCUGCAGAAAGAGCUGGAGACUCCCCCAAACACAUCUGCGCAUCCUCCUAUGUCCUUCCAUGGGUUCAUCCACUUGACUUAAAUUGCCAAGCAAUGUGACGUUGUUAGUAAUAAACCACUAUUCAUGUUGAACAUCUAGAAGAUCAGAAGGAUUUCUACUUUGAUCUUUCUUUCUUUGACUCACUUUGAGUUUAUUUUGCUCCUCUUUUUGCACUUUUGAAGUGUCAAUAUUACAUGUUUUUUCUUUUCUAAUAUAAGCAUG
rnacentral:lncRNA from 1 species